UACGUAGGGUGCGAGCGUUGUCCGGAAUUAUUGGGCGUAAAGAGCUCGUAGGCGGUCUGUCGCGUCGGUCGUGAAAACUUGGGGCUUAACCCUGAGCUUGCGGUCGAUACGGGCAUGACUGGAGUUCGGCAGGGGAGACUGGAAUUCCUGGUGUAGCGGUGAAAUGCGUAGAUAUCUGGAGGAACACCGGUGGCGAAGGCGGGUCUCUGGGCCGAUAUUGACGCUGAGGAGCGAAAGCGUGGGGAGCGAACAGG
rnacentral:rRNA from 1 species